rnacentral:rRNA from 1 species
UUCCGGUUGAUCCUGCCGGAGGCUACCGCUAUUGGAGUUCGAUUAAGCCAUGCGAGUCGAGAGUCUUAGGGACUCGGCGUACCGCUCAGUAACACGUGGGUAACCUGCCCUAUGCUGGGGAAUAACCUCGGGAAACUGAGAAUAAUACCCCAUAGUUCACCACGCCUGGAGCGGUGGGUGGAUGAAAGCUCCGGCGGCAUAGGAUGGGCCUGCGACGUAUCAGGUUGUAGGGGGUGUAACGUACCCUCUAGCCAUCAACGCGUACGGGUGUUGGGAGACAUAGCCCGGAGAUGGAUUCUGAGACACGAAUCCAGACCCUACGGGGUGCAGCAGGCGCGAAAACUUGGCAAUGCGAGCAAUCGUGACCAGGGAACUCCAAGUGGCUGGGGUAAUACCCAGUUUUUUCUUGACUCUUCAAAGGUCUUGGAAUAAGGGGUGGGUAAGGACGGUGCCAGCCGCCGCGGUAAUACCGGCGCCUCAAGUGGUAGUCGCUUUUAUUGGGCCUAAAACGUCCGUAGCCGGUCUGGUGCAUUCGUGGGUAAAUCAACCUGCUCAACGGGUUGAAUUCUGCGAGCACGGCCAGACUUGGGACCGGGAGAGGUGUGGGGUACUCUCAGGGUAGGGGUAAAAUCCCUGUCAUCCUGAGAGGACCACCUGUUGCGAAGG